rnacentral:lncRNA from 1 species
UUAAAAUCUCUGCUUUUGAAUACCAAAGGAACAAAGCCCUUAUGCCUUAGGACAGAAAAGAACAGAUAAAGAACCCAGGGCCUCCAGUCUAAGAUAGGCUGAAAAUUCCAGAGCCUACAGGAGGGGAGAGUCAGAGGAGGCAAGUUCUCCCCAGCCUUCUGCCCAAGUGAGGACCAGAUAGAUCGCAGAGCCAAAGUGAGCUUCUAUCUUGCUUCCUAUAUUGUACUCAGCCAAAUGGCAGGGUCUCAUAAUUUCACAGAUCCAAACCCAUGAACAGUACAGAUAUGGUGACAAACUAAUUCCAGGCUGAUGGGGCUGUGGCAACCCUUCCUUCUCCCUCCACCAAUAGGCUGCAAUCUCCAAGCGGCCAGAGAGAGCAUUCUUAGCUUUCCAGCACUCCUAAAGAGGCCCGGAUGAGGCACGAGAAGGAACAGUGACUCACAGAGGGGAGGAGGGCACCCAAUGUGAACCCAAUAUCAAAUCAGUGCAGAACACAAACAUCCUGUAAAAUGCCAGCAGAGAUGAAUGAAGACAAUUCAGUCGAAGACAGCAAAGUCAGAUGAGAAUGGCCAACGACUGAACAAGACCUCCCUAUCAGGAGUACUACUGCACAUGUUUCUCUUGACAGCGUUUACAGUCUGAUAGGAGAAAAGAUGAUGACUGAAGAAUUAUAAUAAAACCAAGUAGGGUUCCACAUUUUAAAAAGUUACAUGUUUUAGAAGCAUCUUUAAGAUAUUCCAAGAAGGAUAAUUAAACAUUUCAAAGAUGAAGACAUGUGGGAAUAAAGGAUAAAGAGAUGAAGAGGCAAAUAUUUCAGGUAGGUGAAUAAGACAGACAACCUACAGAA